rnacentral:misc_RNA from 1 species
CAACCCUUUCGGGGCGCGGCUUGUUCUCAGGUCAGCGCGUCCGGUGCUGGACCCGGUCAGGUUUCCCAACCGGCCUGGUCCCAAAGUUGUACGCUCCAGCGGGGCAGCGCAACCGAUUAGAGACCCAGUAGGCCUUCAAAGCAAACUGUCUCGCUCGGCUGAGCAUUUGCCUACCGCCUGAACAAAUCUUUUUUAACCAAG